CUUUGAUCGAUUCUUGCUCUUGCAAUUCCAUGCCUCACUCGCUCACCAAAUGUCUCCGGCCAGGAUUCCAUCUCUGCUGUCUCCGAAGACGUUGAGAACAAAAGUUACUGGAGAUUUCACCCUCCUCCCUCCCUCGGUGACCAUUUUGAUUUUCUGUUUUCAUUCUCUCUCCUCACUGUAUUUCCGGCUCUAUAAUCUAUCAUUCUCAUCAAACGACGCUGGCCCUCCAAAAUCCUCUCUUUUCCUUGCAAAUGGUUUGUCCUCUCUCUCUCACCAACAGACACUAACCCGCUUGUCCCUCACCAAACCAAUGUCGGCAUUCCCCUCUCACUAAACGAAAGCUAUUUGGACGAUUGAUUCUGUUGAUGGCUAUAUUGAAUUUAGCAGGGAAGAAGAUGGCAGCUGUAAUUGAUGGAUCUGUCCAGCCGGGUCGAAUCCGGAUUCUUAAAGAAGGAUAAGCCAAGCAAGCGGGUCCUGUUGUAUACUGGAUGGUUAGAGAUCAACGGCUAAGAGACAACUGGGCAUUAAUCUACGCCAUUGAUCAGGCUAACAAGGCCAAGGUGCCUGUGCCUGUUGCUUUUAAUUUGUUCGAUCAGUUUUUGGGAGCCAAAGCGAGGCAAUUAGGUUUUAUGUUAAAGGGGUUGCGCCAACUUCAGGAAAAAAAUUGAAGAGACCCUUCAAAUUCCCUUUUUCUUAUUCC
rnacentral:misc_RNA from 1 species